AUCAAUUAUAUGUCAAUUCCAGCACCAGCAUCUGCUGCAGCAGCAUGUGAUGUAUAACACUCCCUCAAUCUUUGAUAUCCACCAAUGCAUUCACAUAACUCCUCAUCAUUCCCUCACCUAAAUGCACUUAGAAUUGUCAUUCAGCAACUAUCAUCAUAUUUAUUAAUCAAUCUUUAAGUACAAAAAUAAAUGCCAU